AGGACGAACGCUGGCGGCGUGCUUAACACAUGCAAGUCGAGCGGUAAGGCCCUUUCGGGGGUACACGAGCGGCGAACGGGUGAGUAACACGUGAGCAAUCUGCCCUUCACUUCGGGAUAAGCCUCGGAAACGGGGUCUAAUACCGGAUAUGACUGCGCCAUGCAUGUGGUGUGGUGGAAAGUUCUGGCGGUGAGGGAUGAGCUCGCGCUAUCAGUCUUGUUGGUGGGGUAAUCGGCCUACCGAGGUCUUCGGACGGGUAGCCCGGCUGGAGGUCGGGUCGCCGGACCACG
rnacentral:rRNA from 1 species